UAUUUUCAUGUUUAAUACAAAGGACCCGUGGAUAUACUUCAAAUUUGUUCCCCCUAGGCAUGGCAUAUUAAUAUGUUUAUUUUUGCUAACCCUAACCCUCGUGUCAUGAGGAUGUGUGCUUGUUUGUCUUCUCUUGAUUUUACAAGGUACGGAUUCGAGGUCGAAUCCUUUUUAAGAAGGGGAGGAUGAUACGAGUACGAUCGCAUAGAUGAACUUAUGAGGGCGUAUGUUAGACCCGAGACUUGGUGU
rnacentral:lncRNA from 1 species